CGUGUAGGCGGAAUAGAAAGUCAGAUGUGAAAUUCCAAAGCUCAACUUUGGAGCUGCACCUGAAACUACUGAUCUAGAGGUAGAGUGGAGAAAAUGGAAUUCCCCGUGUAGCGGUGAAAUGCGUAGAUAUGGGGAGGAACAUCGGAGGCGAAAGCGGUUUUCUAACUUUAACCUGACGCUGAGACGCGAAAGCAAGGGGAGCAAACA
rnacentral:rRNA from 1 species